AGUGAACGCUGGCGGUAGGCCUAACACAUGCCAGUCGAACGGCAGCACAGUAAGAGCUUGCUCUUACGGGUGGCGAGUGGCGGACGGGUGAGGAAUACAUCGGAAUCUACUUUUUCGUGGGGGAUAACGUAGGGAAACUUACGCUAAUACUGCAUACGACCUACGGGUGAAAGCAGGGGAUCUUCGGACCUUGCGCGAUUGAAUGAGCCGAUGUCGGAUUAGCUAGUUGGCGGGGUAAAGGCCCACCAAGGCGACGAUCCGUAGCUGGUCUGAGAGGAUGAUCAGCCACACUGGAACUGAGACACGGUCCAGACUCCUACGGGAGGCAGCAGUGGGGAAUAUUGGACAAUGGGCGCAAGCCUGAUCCAGCCAUACCGCGUGGGUGAAGAAGGCCUUCGGGUUGUAAAGCCCUUUUGUUGGGAAAGAAAAGCAGCAGGUUAAGACCCCGCUGUUCUGACGGUACCCAAAGAAUAAGCACCGGCUAACUUCGU
rnacentral:rRNA from 1 species